UAUUUGAAUGUGUCUACCGGUAUUUGUUUGCAUGACAAAAUGAGUCAUGAAAUAUGAAAAGAUUCAUAUUUUUAAUUUUGGAGCUUCGAUGAAUGAUAAACGAAUGGAACGACAAACAUAAAAGUCGGUGAACCUGUUAGCAAAGCAAGCAGAGCUUGAAAAUCGUACUGUCUACAUAUACAACGCGUAACGUUUGAAAUCAAAAUUUUCGAAUGUUUAUUCUUUUCAGAAAUUUUUUAAAAUUUCAAUAAAAUCAUAUAUCUAUCAAGUAUUUAUUCAUCAUCAUCGGGUAUUUACUCUUGGCUCUAGCACCGAAGAACGGUAAAUGCCUCGCAGUUAUAGGCUUAAUUCGUUGUAAACGCGCAUUGAUAUUUUCCAGCUAUUUCACGAUUGUAGUCGCAUGACGGGUAUACAUUCGCAUAACAGGAAUGUCUUUAGUUAUUAGCCAGGUCGGGAUAUUAAUCCCGGUUAGCGGCAAGUGGCGCGAUAAUAGCGACACUUGCGUUGCGGUCAGCUCGAAUUUAUGUCGACCGAGCUCUUGUUGUCGUAGGUUCUGUCGGUCGGAAGCGAGUCAUUGUCGAAACAUCAGAGCAUCGACGAUAACCACUCUUCGUCGGCGAUGCUCCAUGUACCGCAGACAGAACCGACCAGACACACCAAAAGCGUCGUGUUGCAGUUAAUUACUCGCGGAUCGAAUCGCCGAAACGACGGGGAUUACCGGAGAAAUUAAAACAUCAGAUGGUAGCACGAUAACAUAUUUUCUGUUGUUAGCGUAGCCGAUCGUUAAAAUUUCAUACGGUAGCCGGAAAAUGUAAUCACCAACGGUAAAACGUUCCAUCCUCUCACCCGAUAUUCCAAGCGAAAAUUGUGGAAACGCAAGGCGGUAAUAUUCGCGAUAUCAUCUUGUGGUGUUGUGUAUAUGUAUAUUACUUUUGAAAUUACCAUUGGAAACUUCGGGCUUGUUAGUGAAACAUUAAUGUGAUUGCAGGAAUCCGCCUAUAUUACACGUAUUUCGAGAGAGAAGGAAAUAAUUUGCAUUGUGAACGCUACGACAUCGAGAAUACAACAUAAAAUAACAAGCCUAAACUUUUGAACGACGGUGUACACAUAAACGCGUUUAACAGACCGCAUCAUGUGUUUUCGAGCUCGAAGAAAAAUCACGUUAACGAAUUUGUAAUCCGAUAGUGGCGGCUACGAAAUCAAAGUUUCCAGCUCGAUGCCACUAUUUGUGCAUAAAAUAAACAGCGCGGUUAACGAUGGAAGAUUUAUUGGCGCGCAAUCAAAUAUUUCAUUUAACAGUUUGUUUUUUUAAUCCGAAACACCCGUUUAUAUAUUUAUACGUUCUUUCGCGUCUACACGAUAUUUAUGCGCAUGUUCGGGAGUCGCAAGCACGCGAACCAGAGUGAAGAAAUUAUUACACUCUCCUAACAGCGCUGAAACUUUAUUAUGAAUGUGUGGCAAUAUACUUUUUUCCACUGAGUAAUUUUUUAUUCAUUCCGAACACACGUAAACCGCAGGAGUAUUUUCUCUCUUAUAUUAUUUUUUCGUUUAGUUUGAACGAGAAUUUCUUCUCUCUCUUUCUUUCUCUCUGCAAGCCAACUGUCGGUUGGUCGAAUAUAUUUUAUUAACGCUUGACUAAAAUCAGCCGCAGCAAGUUUUUAAACGGGUCAGAAACUUCCGUUGAAAUUUUUGGAAACUUACCGAUGCUGCAUUUAUUAACGUACACCAUUGUUCAUCGAGUGAAGUUUCGUUGAAAAUUCGCCGUAAAUCAGGUAACCCGAAGGUGUAUGUCUUCUCCGAGCACGUAAGAAAAUUCUGUUAACCGACCCGAAUAAAUAUGUACUGCAUCCGUCAUCGUUGAGGUCGAUCUACGAAAACGAGGAGAGAGUAAUAUUUUAAGAAGCUGCAACGUAAAGAAUGACACGUACGUGUGAUCGAGUUAUAAAUAUUGUUAACCAAGCGUGAAAAAGAUAAAGUACCUAUACCAUCUGGUGGUUCGUGUAGUUUAUACACUGAUUUACUAUUUACAUAUAGAGUUUACUACGAAAUUUUCUAUGCUGCACUAUGAUAUUGCUACCAUUUUCAUUAAAUUAACCACAACCACUUACAUUCAAUAAUUGUUUAAACCGUAGUUAAAAUUUAUAUAUUCGUUCUCCAUUAUACAGUAUUAAAAUAUCCUAAGAAACAUGGCACAAUUUUAUAAGUUGUUUAUCAAGAAAACUAUGACUCAAAAGCUUCCUCGAAUUAGGAUAGUAGAUAAACAUUUCACUUGUUUAGAGUACAGAUGCCAUGUUUUGCCGUAAUCUCGCGAUGUUUUCUUCUGCUUCAACCACCUCUUCCUUUCUUUCUAUAAAUGAUUCGUCUUACACAUACAGAAGACCAGUCAUGUUUGUACUGUGUAUGUGUAUGACCAUUACUAUUGUUAAUGCCAUUAAUGAAUUGAACUGAAAAGAGCUGUUCUGUCUCGUUAUUGUUAAUGCCACUAAGAAAUUAAAUAACAAAAGAAUAGCAUCGCAA